CGCGGUGUAGCGCAGUCAGGCAGCGCGGCGGGCUCAUAACCCGCAGGCCGUGGGUUCGAAUCCCAUCACCGCAA
rnacentral:tRNA from 1 species